AGCGAUACUACGGAAUCGAACCGUAUGCCAUUCGCUUUGCAGGCGAACUCCAAAUGCCUCAUGGAUCUCGGCUAGUACCGC
rnacentral:tRNA from 1 species